rnacentral:tRNA from 1 species
CAGAUUAGAGCUUGAUUAGAGCAUUUUAUUUACAUUAAAAGGGUGGGUUUUAACUUUUAUCUGAAG